rnacentral:rRNA from 1 species
AGCAUCCCCACCGUCAUAUCAUACUAUUGUUGCUUGCAGCUGCAAGCAACAACCAACCAAUGUGUUGCAGUGCCAGUGGCCCGUCCGUAGAAUCGCUGUUAGGACUCUAGCUAGGAGAGUCCUAAUUGAGAGGAACAUUCAUGUAAAACCUACCUACGCCAACCCCUAUUAAAGAGGUGAAGAGGCCGGCUAGGGUUAGGAGAUUAUUUUUUAGAGAAGAAUAAGGAGUUGUAAAGGAAUAGGAGUCUUGAGUAGGAGUCCUAUUAGGAGUUGGUUAGAAGUAGGAGUCCUAUUAGGAGUUAGGGUUUAGAAGCCCUAUAAAUAGUCAUGUAUUCCUCCUCUUUUUAUAAGCAACAGAUGAAUCUUUUCUACAGCCUUUGAGCAGCAACUUGGAGGGAGGAACCCCUAUAGAGUUCCAAGGAGGCUGAUCCCCUAAAGAGAUCAACCCAAAGUUUAGAAUCGACACAGGUUCUAACACCUGGUAUUAGAGCAGCAUUCUUGGUGUCUCGCUGCCCUUCCACGGCCAUCCAUCAACCCUCCACAACUGCCCAAAGCAAUUCCCACAGUUUCUUAAAAGAUCGUUGCCAAAUUUCGCCGUCAUCUCCACCACCACGGAUCAUCUUUUGAUCUCCCCGUGAAUUGCAACAGGUUCUGGUUUCCUACCUUAUUGCUACUGCAAUUUAGUUAUCCUUAUUUGAAAAUCCCAAAAAAUUAUUCCUAUAUUGCUGCAUAAACUUUUCAUCAUAAAGUUUUCAUUUCUACGACGAAAGAUACAUUGCAGAAUUCCAACCGUAUAGCACCGUCUGUUUGAUCUUGCUAUUGUGUUUUUUCUAUCCAAAUCUCUAUGAAAUUUUUAUGGCAUCUUUGACACUUCCUAAUAGUGGAUUUCCCUUUGGUUUCAUCAAAAAAUUCUUAAUAUAAACCAUUGAUCUUUUACAUCUAAUCUGCUAUACUUAAAAAUCUGUGCUGCAGGAAAUUUCAGCCGCAUAUUGUUGCCUUAACCCAUCUAUUUGCAAUCUUUUUUUGAAUGAAAUUUCUUAUACACUUCAUAUAUCAUCUUGGCUUCUAUCUAAGAUUGAUUUAUUAAGGAAUUCAUCUCUAAAAAUGAUUUUGUGUUGCUGUAAAUUUUUGUCAUAAUCCGUUGAAAUUUUUUGACGAGAAUUCUGCAAUCGCAACUUGCACCAAUUUCCUUGCUGUUAUACUGCCAAAAUUUUCUUGAGGGCUUGAAGCCAGAGAUCCGGGGAGAAGUUAAAGCGUGACAACCGUACACGCUUAUGGCAGCCAUCUCUUUCGCACAACAUCAAGAGGUGCGAUUGAAUCAUGAAGCUUGGAGGACUAGAGUUGCUCCUCAACCAGAAAUACUAAAGCCCUCAGCCCCCCCUUCUAUUGAUCGAGUCCCUACACCAAAUAAGUUGACAAGAGAACAGCUUCGGGAGCAAUCUGCGAAGCGGUUAUGUUGGCAUUGCGCGAGCCAUGGAGUUACAAGCAUUGCUGUAGAAAAGGAAGACUUCUUUUGAUCGAACCAGUAGAAGAAGUCAUUGAGCAUUCAAAAGAGAGCCUUAAACAUAACGAAGAAGAUGCAGAAGAAGAGCCACAACCGACUGACAUUACAUUACACACAUUAGCUGGCUACUCAAACCCGCAAACGAUGAAAGGGAGACUUCUUAUGAUUGAACCAAUAGAAGAAGAGGUCAUUGAACAUUCAAAAGAGAACCUUGAACAUAAAAAGGAUACGGAAGAAGAGCCACAACCGACUGUCGAACAGCCAAAUCAGAACUGGUACGGACAAGGGGAAUCCGACUGUUUAAUUAAAACAAAGCAAUGCGAUAGUCCCCGCGGGUGCUCACACAAUGUGAUUUCUGUCCAGUGCUCUGAAUGUUAAAGUGAAGAAAUUCAACCAAGCGUGGGUAAACGGCGGGAGUAACUAUGACUCUCUUAAGGUAGCCAAAUGUCUCGUCAUCUAAUUAUUGACACGCAUGAAUGGAUUAACGAGAUUCCCACUGUCCCUGUCUACUAUCCAGCGAAACCACAUCCAAGGAAACGGGCUUGGCAGAAUCAGCGGGGAAAGAAGACCCAGUUGAGCUAGACUCUAGUUCGACUUUGUGAAAUGACUUGAGAGGUGUUGGAUAAAUGGGAGCCGGUUCGCCGGCGGAAGUGAAAUACCACUACUUUUAACAUUAUUUUACUUAUUCCGUGAGUCGAAGGUGGGGCCCAGCCCCUCCUUUUGGACCCAAGGCCCGCCUAGCGGGCCGAUCCGGACGGAAGACAUUGUCAGGUGGGGAGUUUGGCUGGGGCGGCACAUCUGUUAAAAGAUAACGCAGGUGUCCUAAGAUGAGCUCAAUGAGAAUAGAAAUCUCGUGUGGAACAAAAGGGUAUAAGCUCGUUUGAUUCUGAUUUCCAGCAUGAAUACGAACCGUGAAAGCGUGGCCUAUCGAUCCUUUAGACCUUUGAAAUUUGAAGCUAGAGGUGUUAGAAAAGUUACCACAGGGAUAACUGGCUUGCGGCAACCAUGCAUUCAUAGCAACGUUGUUUUUUGAACCUUCGAUGUCGGCUCUUCCUAUCAUUAUGAAGCAGAAUUCACUAAGUGUUGGAUUGUUCACCCACCAAUAGGAAACGUGAGCUGGGUUUAGACCAUCGUGAGAUAGGUUAGUUUUACCCUACUGAUGAUCGUGUCGCGAUAGUAAUUCAACCUAGUAUGAGAGGAACCGUUGAUUUACACAAUUGGUCAUCGCGCUUGGUUGAAAAGCUAGUGGCACGAAGCUACCGUGUGUCGGAUUAUGACUGAAUGCCUCUAAGUCAAAACCCUAGCUACCAACUAGCGCUCUCACCCGUCAUUUGCCUCCCGACCCACAGUAGGGGCCUUCGGCCCCCAUGGGCUCGUGUCGCCGGUGUAGCCCCCGUGGUGGUAUAGCCACGGGUGGCCAUCGGGAAGUGAAAUUCCACACGAACGACAGGCCGAAUCCUUUGUAG